CAGCGACGCCGCGUGAGGGAUGACGGCCUUCGGGUUGUAAACCUCUUUCAGUAGGGAAGAAGCGAAAGUGACGGUACCUGCAGAAGAAGCGCCGGCUAACUACGUGCCAGCAGCCGCGGUAAUACGUAGGGCGCAAGCGUUAUCCGGAAUUAUUGGGCGUAAAGAGCUCGUAGGCGGUUUGUCGCGUCUGCCGUGAAAGUCCGGGGCUCAACUCCGGAUCUGCGGUGGGUACGGGCAGACUAGAGUGAUGUAGGGGAGACUGGAAUUCCUGGUGUAGCGGUGAAAUGCGCAGAUAUCAGGAGGAACACCGAUGGCGAAGGCAGGUCUCUGGGCAUUAACUGACGCUGAGGAGCGAAAGCAUGGGGAGCGAACAGGAUUAGAUACCCUGGUAGUCCAUGCCGUAAACGUUGGGCACUAGGUGUGGGGGACAUUCCACGUUUUCCGCGCCGUAGCUAACGCAUUAAGUGCCCCGCCUGGGGAGUACGGCCGCAAGGCUAAAACUCAAAGGAAUUGACGGGGGCCCGCACAAGCGGCGGAGCAUGCGGAUUAAUUCGAUGCAACGCGAAGAACCUUACCAAGGCUUGACAUGAACCGGAAAGACCUGGAAACAGGUCCCCCGCUUGCGGUCGGUUUACAGGUGGUGCAUGGUUGUCGUCAGCUCGUGUCGUGAGAUGUUGGGUUAAGUCCCGCAACGAGCGCAACCCUCGUUCUAUGUUGCCAGCGCGUGAUGGCGGGG
rnacentral:rRNA from 1 species